UACGGAGGGUGCAAGCGUUAUCCGGAUUCACUGGGUUUAAAGGGUGCGUAGGCGGGUUGGUAAGUCCGUGGUGAAAUCUCCAGCUUAACUUGGAAACUGCCGUGGAUACUAUCAAUCUUGAAUAUAGUGGAGGUGAGCGGAAUAUGUCAUGUAGCGGUGAAAUGCUUAGAUAUGACAUAGAACACCCAUUGCGAAGGCAGCUCGCUACACUAUUAUUGACGCUGAGGCACGAAAGCGUGGGGAUCAAACAGG
rnacentral:rRNA from 1 species